UAACCUGCCCAAGAGAUCGGGAUAACACCUGGAAACAGAUGCUAAUACCGGAUAACAACAGAUGAUGCCUAUCAACUGUUUAAAAGAUGGUUCUGCUAUCACUCUUGGAUGGACCUGCGGUGCAUUAGCUAGUUGGUAGGGUAACGGCCUACCAAGGCGAUGAUGCAUAGCCGAGUUGAGAGACUGAUCGGCCACAUUGGGACUGAGACACGGCCCAAAUCCUACGGGAGGCAGCAGGG
rnacentral:rRNA from 1 species